UACACCAAUGAUGAGAAUGUGUCACAAACAAGAUUGCGGUUAAUCCAAUUCUAUGCAUAUGAGAUU
rnacentral:snoRNA from 1 species